UACGUAGGUGGCAAGCGUUACUCGGAAUCACUAGGCGUAAAGCGCAGGUAGGCGGUUUGAUAAGUCUGUUGUGAAAGCUCCCGGCUCAACUGGGAGAGGCCAACGGAAACUGUCAGGCUAGAGUGUGGUAGAGGAAACUGGAAUUCCUGGUGUAGCGGUGAAAUGCGUAGAUAUCAGGAGGAACACCUAUGGCGAAAGCAGGUUUCUGGGCCAUCACUGACGCUGAGCUGCGAAAGCUAGGGGAGCAAACAGG
rnacentral:rRNA from 1 species